rnacentral:rRNA from 1 species
CAGCGCCACGAGUCGCAGUCGCGAUUAUUGGGCCUAAAGCGUCCGUAGCCGGACUAGUAAAUCUUUUGUGAAAUCGUCAAGCUCAACUUGACGGCGUGCAGAAGACACUACUAGUCUUGAGACCGGGAGGAGUCAGAAGUAUUCUUGGGGGAACGGUAAAAUGUCAUAAUCCCAGGAGGACUACCGAUGGCGAAGGCAUCUGACCAGAACGGAUCUGACGGUGAGGGACGAAAGCUAGGGGAGCGAACCGGAUUAGAUACCCGAGUAGUCC